rnacentral:rRNA from 1 species
GAUGAACGCUGGCGGCGUGCUUAACACAUGCAAGUCGAACGGAGCGGCUUAGAAGGAGGAUUCGUCCAACUGAUAAGCCUGCUUAGUGGCGGACGGGUGAGUAACGCGUGAGGAACCUGCCUUGGAGUGGGGAAUAACAGUUAGAAAUGACUGCUAAUACCGCAUAAUACAGUUGAGUCGCAUGGCUCUGACUGUCAAAGAUUUAUCGCUCUGAGAUGGCCUCGCGUCUGAUUAGCUAGUUGGUGGGGUAACGGCCCACCAAGGCGACGAUCAGUAGCCGGACUGAGAGGUUGGCCGGCCACAUUGGGACUGAGACACGGCCCAG